rnacentral:ncRNA from 1 species
GGUCAUGAGACUCAGCGAAAAGCCCCGGCUUGCUGAGCGGCAACCCUCCACCGCGGUGGGGUGCCCCGGGAGACGACCUGGCUCUACCUGCCCGGGCGA